GUUCGCCACUCUCUUGACCCAGAAACCCCCCACAAAAUCAUGCAAAUCAAGAGGUUCAAACCUUCUUGCUUACUUUAAGAACACUCGGAAAACUGCCCAGGUCAUCAAGGGUAUACAUAUAAGCAAAACCACCAAGUAUCUGAAGGAUGUCACUUUAAAGAAGCAAUGUGUGCCACUACAUUCCAGUGGUAUAAUGGUAGAGUUGGUAGUUGCGCCCAGGCCAAAGAGUGGGGCUGGACACAGGGACAGUGGCCAAAAAAGAGUUCUGAACUUUUGCUGCACUUGCUUAAAAAUGCAGAGUAAUGCUGAACUUUAGGGUUUAGAUGUAGAUUCUCUAGUCAUUGAACACAUCCAGGUGAACAAGGCACCUAAGAUGCUCCGAGGAACCUACAGAGCUCAUGGCCGGAUUAAUCCAUACAUGAGCUCCCCCUGCCUCAGUGAGAUGAUCCUCACUGAGAAGGAACAGAUCUUUCCAAAGCCAGAAGAGGAGGUUGCACAGAAGAAAAAGAAAUCCCAGAAGAAACUGUGGAAACAAAACCUCAUAGCACAGGAAUAA
rnacentral:lncRNA from 1 species